AUUGAACGCUGGCGGCAGGCCUAACACAUGCAAGUCGAGCGAGUGGCGGACGGGUGAGUAAUGUCUGGGAAACUGCCCGAUGGAGGGGGAUAACUACUGGAAACGGUAGCUAAUACCGCAUACCAUCAGAUGUGCCCAGAGGGGAUUAGCUGGUAGGUGGGGUAACGGCGCACCUAGGCGACGAUCCCUAGCUGGUCUGAGAGGAUGACCAGCCACACUGGAACUGAGACACGGUCCAGACUCCUACGGGAGGCAGCAGUGGUGAUUAUGGCACAAUGGGCGCAAGCCGGAUGCAGCCAGGCCGCGUGUGUGAAGAAGGCCUUCGGGUUGUAAAGCACUUUCAGCGGGGAGGCGUUACCCGCAGAAGAAGCACCGGCUAACUCCGUGCCAGCAGCCGCGGUAAUUC
rnacentral:rRNA from 1 species